CCUAUCAGAGGGGGAUAGCCCGGCGAAAGUCGGAUUAAUACCCCAUAAAACAGGGGUCCCGCAUGGGAAUAUUUGUUAAAGAUUCAUCGCUGAUAGAUAGGCAUGCGUUCCAUUAGGCAGUUGGCGGGGUAACGGCCCACCAAACCGACGAUGGAUAGGGGUUCUGAGAGGAAGGUCCCCCACAUUGGUACUGAGACACGGACCAAACUCCUACGGGAGGCAGCAGUGAGGAAUAUUGGUCAAUGGCCGAGAGGCUGAACCAGCCAAGUCGCGUGAAGGAAGAAGGAUCUAUGGUUUGUAAACUUCUUUUAUAGGGGAAUAAAGUGGAGGACGUGUCCUUUUUUGUAUGUACCCUAUGAAUAAGCAUCGGCUAACUCCGUGCCAGCAGCCGCGGUAAUACGGAGGAUGCGAGCGUUAUCCGGAUUUAUUGGGUUUAAAGGGUGCGUAGGUGGUGAUUUAAGUCAGCGGUGAAAGUUUGUGGCUCAACCAUAAAAUUGCCGUUGAAACUGGGUUACUUGAGAGUGUUUGAGGUAGGCGGAAUGCGUGGUGUAGCGGUGAAAUGCAUAGAUAUCACGCAGAACUCCGAUUGCGAAGGCAGCUUACUAAACCAUAACUGACACUGAAGCACGAAAGCGUGGGGAUCAAACAGGAUUAGAUACCCUGGUAGUCCACGCAGUAAACGAUGAUUACUAGGAGUUUGCGAUACAAUGUAAGCUCUA
rnacentral:rRNA from 1 species